GUGGGGAAUCUUAGACAAUGGGGGAAACCCUGAUCUAGCCAUGCCGCGUGAGCGAUGAAGGCCUUAGGGUUGUAAAGCUCUUUCAGCUGGGAAGAUAAUGACGGUACCAGCAGAAGAAGCCCCGGCUAACUCCGUGCCAGCAGCCGCGGUAAUACGGAGGGGGCUAGCGUUAUUCGGCAUUACUGGGCGUAAAGCGCACGUAGGCGGACCAGAAAGUUGGGGGUGAAAUCCCGGGGCUCAACCUCGGAACUGCCUUCAAAACUCCUGGUCUUGAGUUCGAGAGAGGUGAGUGGAAUUCCGAGUGUAGAGGUGAAAUUCGUAGAUAUUCGGAGGAACACCAGUGGCGAAGGCGGCUCACUGGCUCGAUACUGACGCUGAGGUGCGAAAGCGUGGGGAGCAAACAGGAUUAGAUACCCCUGUAGUCC
rnacentral:rRNA from 1 species